rnacentral:lncRNA from 13 species
UGAAGACUUUCUACACUGUGUUGGUACUGACACUGACAGGUAAGGGGUCUCAGACACACACACACACACACACACACACACACACACACACACACACACACACACACACACACACACACACACACACACACACACACACACACAAUAUUUAAUUCACACAUAUAUACAAAUGACUGAAUCAUUCAGUCAAUUAAAUCCAUAACGGAUGAGCCGGCAAAUGUCGAUUUGACACAAAAAUAAGAAUAAAGUCAUUCACACACAUGCACACACACAAAGUCACAAUUUCAGUGUGAUCAUUGUACAACAUAUAGGGCAAAUUGUUAGCCACUCACAUGAGUCAAACAACAUUAUUCAGAUACAGCUCAUCAGGUUGUAUGAUGCCCUUAAAGUGGCAGUCAGCAGCUGCUACACCAUUUUUGGACUUGAAUGUAAAUGAAUGAAUGAUAUGUACCCAUUGAUUCUUGAAGAAUAUAACUUUAAAAUGCUUCAUGAGCUUAGUUCAGCUGUCGUUCCCCAUCAGAACCGCACAAAUAAGCUUGUUUUAAUCCAAUGUUUAAAAAAAAAAAUGCAAAUGCAAACAAACUGUAUAGCCUCACAACAUGGUCACAACUAUAAUUUCGAUAUCUUGNNNNNNNNNNUGAAGACUUUCUACACUGUGUUGGUACUGACACUGACAGGAGGCCUUGAUCCUACCAGUGUCUCAGCAGCAUCUCCUAAUCCUCGCUCAGUGUCCGUGAGGCCCAGCCCACAGCUCUCUCUCCCCAUUCUCAACCAGUCCUUCAGCCUGGACUGUAGCGGCUCCUUCCCAGGCCUGCCAGUGCUUUGGUACAAAGACGGCCAGGUUGUAGCUCCAGACGCCAGGAUAAACCUGUUGGAACACAACACCUCCCUCCACUUCAACUCCCUGCUGCCCUCUGAUGGUGGCUUCUAUCAGUGCGAGGUGACCAUGGCAAACAUGGCUGAAAGCAAGGUCAUAAGCUUGGGCUACCUGCUAAACUUUGAUCAUUGGAGUGUUAGUAUCAGUGGCCCUGACACAGUGUUGCCUGGGAGGGAAUACACCUUUACCUGCCAGGUGAACUGCACUGUCGACCUGGACUGCUCCAUCCGCUGGCCAUUGAGGGGGGGUAUCCUUACUAGCGCCUACUUCUCCGUGAGGAAGAAUAUCCUGAAAUGGAUCCCGUCGGUACCUGGUACAGUCCAGAACUUCACCUGUGUGGUGGAGAACACAGCAGCUGGACGCUCUGCAGAGGCCUCCAAGACAGUGAAGGUCACAGGACCCACAGUAUCAGGAUCUGAAACAGUGAGGCUGACUGGAGUUUUAGGACUGGUCCUCUGUAUGGGACUGCUGUUCCUCCUUGAUCCCUAGGAGGGGCGCUAUAAGGCUACAGAUGAUGGGAAGGACAGAGGAGAACAUUGAAUGAGUUCAGGUUCACCUUCAGAACGAAUAAUAAAACAGGAACCAACGUUUUGAAACUCUUAAUCCUGUCCAAUAAGAAUGCUUGUUUCUCAGAGUAAAAAUAUAAGGGAAUAAGAAUGUUUCCUCUGUUGUGGGAUAAUGAUAGUUGAGUCAUUGGAAGUUUCCAGUGAAUUAUGUUUAUCAUCCACAUGCAGUGGGUAACGAUGAGAAAAUAACAAAACGUACAUAUUGAUGUUAUCUAUGUAAUAUUUUAUUUUUUGCAACACCUACUGUAUUAUUAUUAUCUUUGUUGUUGUUGAGAUGACCUUGUAAAAUAAACUCCCAAAUGAGUGUGGUAAUAGAUAGCUGUCUCUGUAUGGAGUUGUCAACUUUGGUCUUUGAUUGGCGUAGCCAGCAUACCUCCAGAUCCACUGCCAGACAUACCAGCAGAGUACACUGUACUGUCCCUCCCCUCACUAGGGAGCAGAGACAACCCUGCUGUCUUCAAGGAAAAGUCCUAUGAAAAGCUGCUGUUAUAAUCACACUAUCUUCACACCAUAACAUCACUUGUUUAUGUGAGAGUGGUAUUAUGAGACUAGCCUGACCUACAUUCACAGAAGUCGUUUCAUAACAUGAUAGUAUAGUAUACUGUAGGCUGUCAGUGUGUAUGUAGGCUUAUAUAGCUAAUAUAGCCUACUUAUUGCAAAGGCUAACCUGAUGUACAAGUUGUACAACUCUUUACGCCAGUCCUAGCACCAUGUCCAACACAAUCGCACACAUUCAAAUGUAUUUGUUGGCAAAUCCAUUUCUGUGCGAUAAGGUCAUUUCAAUCUCAGGCCAUGUUUGCCUACCCUGUUUGGUCAGGGCAUGAUAUGGUGAAAUUGAACAAUGGACACCAUUUGUCAUGGACCCAGAAUACCACAAAGUAGAUAUUGAAGCUAACCUCAAACCUGGAAAUGGCACAUGAGGAGGCGUUCAUUUAUCAUUACAUCUGGCACAAUGCCAUUGGUUUAUUUAUCAUUUACAGCAUAACUAUACUGGAUGCAUCAUACUCAAGCAUCUGUUUUGAUACACUCCUUUAUUUAUGACCACAUCAUUUGCAUUCUAUUGGAAGUGAAAGCAUUAUUCAAACAGUAUCUGGUAGUUAGUGCGCCUAUCCCUAACCAUGACCCUAACCCUAACACUAGCUUCAUGUCCACACAUACACACAGAACUCAAUGUGUAUUCGGUAGGCCAAGCUUUGAAAAACUACAAACCUCAAUGUCCCACUUCCUGGUUGGAUUUUUCUCAGGUUUUCGCCUGCCAUAUGAGUUCUGUUAUACUCACAGACAUCAUUCAAACAAUUUUAGAAACUUCAGAGUGUUUUCUAUCAAAUACUAAUAAUACUAUGCAUAUAUUAGCAUCUGGG